UACGGAGGGUGCAAGCGUUAUCCGGAUUCACUGGGUUUAAAGGGUACGUAGGCGGGCAGGUAAGUCCGUGGUGAAAUCUCUGAGCUUAACUCAGAAACUGCCAUGGAUACUAUUUGUCUUGAAUAUUGUGGAGGUGAGCGGAAUAUGUCAUGUAGCGGUGAAAUGCUUAGAUAUGACAUAGAACACCAAUUGCGAAGGCAGCUCACUACACAGUUAUUGACGCUGAGGCACGAAAGCGUGGGGAUCAAACAGG
rnacentral:rRNA from 1 species